GAUCAAGUUAGUAAGGGCAUACGGUGAAUGCCUUGGCGCUAGGAGUCGAUGAAGGACGUGGUAAGCUGCGAUAAGCUUCGGGGAGGUGCAAGCAACCUUCGAUCCGGAGAUUUCCGAAUGGGGAAACCCGGCUGGGGUAAUGCCCAGUCACUCCUACCUGAACACAUAGGGUAGGUAGAGACAACCCAGGGAACUGAAACAUCUAAGUACCUGGAGGAAUAGAAAGUAAAUAACGAUUCCCUUAGUAGCGGCGAGCGAACGGGGAUCAGCCCAAACCGUCUAAAUGUUAAAGCGGCAGGCGUUGCUUAGACGGGGUUAUAGGAGUUACCGGGUUGUGCUGCCCACAACCAGAGAGUUACAAAACUUAAGUCUAGUCGAAUGAUCCUGGAAAGGACAGCUAUAAGAGGUAAAAGCCCUGUAGACGAAAGGCUUAGGACUCUCAGUAACCACCUGAGUACCGCGGGACACGAGAAAUCUUGCGGGAAGUAGCGAGGACCACCUCGUAAGGCUAAAUACUCCCUAGCGACCGAUAGUGAACUAGUACCGUGAGGGAAAGGUGAAAAGUACCCCGGGAGGGGAGUGAAAUAGUACCUGAAACCGUAUGCUUACAAGCAGUCGGAGGAAAAUCUUCGGAUUUUCUGACGGCGUGCCUUUUGUAGAAUGAUCCAGCGAGUUACGAUGUGUAGCGAGGUUAAGCGGAAGCGGAGCCGUAGCGAAAGCGAGUCUUUAAACGGGCGUUUAGUUGCAUGUUGUAGACCCGAAUCUGCGUGAUCUAUCCAUGGCCAGGUUGAAGCGAGGGUAAGACCUCGUGAAGGACCGAACCGACUUCGGUUGAAAACGGAGCGGAUGAGCUGUGGAUCGGAGUGAAAGGCUAAUCAAACGCAGUUAUAGCUGGUUCUCCCCGAAAUAGCUUUAGGGCUAGCCUCGGAUGUUUUGUUGUGGUGGUAGAGCACUGAUUGGACUAGGGGCCUCACCAGGUUACCAAACCCAGUCAAACUCCGAAUGCCAUAACUUUAGAGUCCGGGAGUCAGACAGUGGGGGAUAAGCUUCAUUGUCGAGAGGGAAACAGCCCAGAUCGUCAGCUAAGGUCCCUAAAUUCAUGCUAAGUGGCAAAGGAUGUGACGUUGCAUAGACAACCAGGAUGUUGGCUUAGAAGCAGCCAUCAUUUAAAAAGUGCGUAAUAGCUUACUGGUCAAGUGGUGCUGCGCCGAAAAUUUAACGGGGCUCAAGCAUGGUACCGAAGCUACGACAUUCUCUGGCGUUACCUAUCAGAAUACUGCACGGCGGUUGAUUUAAGUACGCGUAAAGCGGCGCUUUAGGCGGCGAAAAUCAUCGCGAGGCGGGUGUGUGUCCCAACAGGGACGAGCGGAAUCCUAUUUUGGAUAAAGACAUGCCGCGUGUAGUGUAGUAAGCCGAUAGGUAAUGCCAGGGGAUGGGUAGGGGAGCAUUGUCUGCGGGUUGAAGUCGGUCUGUAAGGACCGGUGGACUGCAGACAAGAGAGAAUGCUGGAAUGAGUAGCGAGAGUCAGGCGAGAAACCUGACCGCCGUAAACCCAAGGUUUCCAGGGUAAAGCUAAUCUGCCCUGGGUUAGUCGGGACCUAAGGCGAGGCCGAAAGGCGUAGUCGAUGGAGAACAGGUAGAUAUUCCUGUACCACCAAAGUUGCGUUAUCAGCGAUGGGGUGACGGAGAAAGGUAGCUCAGCACGGCGAUGGUCGUCCGUGUUUAAGCCCGUAGGGUGUCUUCUAGGAAAAUCCGGAAGGCGUAUAGCCUGAGAGGUGAUGACGAGUCGAUUGAGACGAAGUGAGUGAUCCUAUGCUUCCAAGAAAAACCUCUAGUGAGCGGCUUAGGUGCCCGUACCCCAAACCGACACAGGUGGGUGAGUAGAGAAUACUAAGGCGAUCGAGAGAACUCUGGUUAAGGAACUCGGCAAAAUUGCCCCGUAACUUCGGGAGAAGGGGCGCCACAUUAGCGUGUAAGGUUUUCCCCCAAGCGUGAAGUGGCUGCAAUAAAAUGGCCCAGGCGACUGUUUACUAAAAACACAGGUCUCUGCUAAGUCGUAAGACGAUGUAUAGGGGCUGACGCCUGCCCGGUGCCGGAAGGUUACGAGGAGGGGUUAGCAAAGUUUUCGGACGAUGCGAAGCUCUGAAUCUAAGCCCCGGUAAACGGCGGCCGUAACUAUAACGGUCCUAAGGUAGAUUUGCUGCCCCCCGCAUUGGCAACAAUGCGGUGUGCAUCUGGCUAUAUGCUGGGAAAGCUGUCCCCUAAAAGGGGUGUAGAAUCCCACACUACCUUUCCAAUAACGAACACAUGUUCUAUAAUAUAGGGCAAGUGCUAUGCGGAGGGGUGACAAUGUGAUGGGUGCAGAGAAUCAGCAGGAAAGGCUUAUUGGGCUUGGAUGGGUUAUUGGUUUUGUAGACGGAGAAGGGUGCUUCUCAAUAGGAUUCAUAAGGCAGCAAGACCGGAUGAAUCGAAAAGGCUACAAAACCGGCUAUCAGGUGAGUCAUGAGUUUGCGGUAACGCAAGGUGCGAAGAGCAUAGAAGUGUUACAUGAACUCAAGAAAUUCUUUAAGGUUGGCCAGGUCGUCAUAAAUAGACGGCAUGAUAAUCACAAAGAACACCUGCAUCGCUACGUUGUGCGUAGUAGAAAAGAUUUGCUGGAGGUAAUAAUUCCGUUUUUUGAAAGAAACAGAAUGAGAACCUCGAAGCAGCAAGACUUUGAAAAAUUUGCGCAGUGCGUAGGAAUGGUUAAUAAGGGAUAUCAUCUGUCCUAUGAAGGAUUGAUAAGUAUCGCUAAAAUUACCGAAACGAUGAAUCGCCAAAAGCCUAGACAUGAACUAAUAAGAAUCCUCAGAGACCAUACGCCGGAUAUCCCAGACAUGGGAUAAUGAUAUGGUCCCGUCUGCAUGGCGACAUGCAGGGAUAACCUUGGAAAAGUUAUCCACUCAGUAUAAAACUGAGCAAGAUUCAAGCGAAAUUCCUUGUCGGGUAAGUUCCGACCCGCACGAAAGGCGUAACGAUCUGGGCGCUGUCUCAACCAGAGACUCGGCGAAAUUGUAUUACCGGUAAAGAUGCCGGUUUCCUGCAGCAAGACGGAAAGACCCCGUGAACCUUUACUGCAGCUUGACAUUGGAUUCUGGUCCACCAUGUACAGGAUAGGUGGGAGGCUUUGAAGCUGGGGCGCAAGCCCUGGUGGAGCCAAUCUUGGGAUACCACCCUUGAUGUACUGGGGUUCUAACGACAGACCGUGAUCCGGCUGUCGGACAGUGUCAGGUGGGCAGUUUGACUGGGGCGGUCGCCUCCUAAAAUGUAACGGAGGCGCUCGAAGGUUCCCUCAGAUUGGUUGGCAAUCAAUCGCAGAGUGUAAGGGCACAAGGGAGCUUGACUGCGAGACGUACAUGUCGAGCAGGUACGAAAGUAGGACCUAGUGAUCCGGCGGUUCCGAGUGGAAGGGCCGUCGCUCAACGGAUAAAAGGUACUCCGGGGAUAACAGGCUGAUCCCGCCCAAGAGUCCAUAUCGACGGCGGGGUUUGGCACCUCGAUGUCGGCUCAUCGCAUCCUGGGGCUGAAGCAGGUCCCAAGGGUUCGUCUGUUCGCCGAUUAAAGCGGUACGCGAGCUGGGUUUAGAACGUCGUGAGACAGUUCGGUCCCUAUCUGCUGUAGGCGUAGGAAAUUUGAGGGGAGUCGUCCCUAGUACGAGAGGACCGGGAUGAACAGACCUCUAGUGUACCAGUUGUUCUGCCAAGAGCAUCGCUGGGUAGCUAUGUCUGGACUGGAUAACCGCUGAAAGCAUCUAAGCGGGAAGCCAACCCCGAGAUGAGAUUUCCCACUCUUAUGAGUUAAGACCCCAGGUAGACUACCUGGUUGAUAGGCCGCAGGUGGAAGGGCAGCAAUGUUCGGAGCCGAGCGGUACUAAUUGGUCGAGGACUUGGUCGU
rnacentral:rRNA from 1 species